rnacentral:rRNA from 1 species
CUCUUGAGAGCGGCGGACGGGUGAGUAAUGCCUAGGAAUCUGCCUAGUGGUGGGGAUAACGUUCGGAAACGGACGCUAAUACCGCAUACGUCCUACGGGAGAAAGCGGGGGAUCUUCGGACCUCGCGCCAUUAGAUGAGCCUAGGUCGGAUUAGCUAGUUGGUGAGGUAAUGGCUCACCAAGGCGACGAUCCGUAACUGGUCUGAGAGGAUGAUCAGUCACACUGGAACUGAGACACGGUCCAGACUCCUACGGGAGGCAGCAGUGGGGGAAUAUUGGACAAUGGGCGAAAGCCUGAUCCAGCCAUGCCGCGUGUGUGAAGAAGGUCUUCGGAUUGUAAAGCACUUUAAGUUGGGAGGAAGGGUAGUAACCUAAUACGUUGCUACUUUGACGUUACCGACAGAAUAAGCACCGGCUAACUUCGUG